rnacentral:tRNA from 1 species
GAAAUCGGUAGACGCUACGGACUUAAAAUCCGUCGACUUUAGAAGUCGUGAGGGUUCAAGUCCCUCUAUCCCCA